rnacentral:rRNA from 1 species
GAUGAACGCUAGCGGCAGGCCUAACACAUGCAAGUCGAGGGGCAGCACAGAAACAGCAAUGUUUUGGUGGCGACCGGCGGACGGGUGCGUAACGCGUAUGCAACCUACCUUUAACAGGGGGAUAACGGAGAGAAAUUUCCACUAAUACCCCAUAACAUCGAUCAAGGCAUCUUGAUUGGUUGAAAACUCCGGUGGUUAAAGAUGGGCAUGCGUUGUAUUAGGUAGUUGGUGAGGUAAUGGCUCACCAAGCCUACGAUACAUAGGGGGACUGAGAGGUUAGCGCCCCACACUGGUACUGAGACACGGACCAGACUCCUACGGGAGGCAGCAGUGAGGAAUAUUGGUCAAUGGGGGCAACCCUGAACCAGCCAUGCCGCGUGCAGGAAGACAGCUCUAUGAGUUGUAAACUGCUUUUAAACAGGGAUAAAGCACAGUAUGUAUACUGUGUUGAAGGUACUGUAAGAAUAAGGAUCGGCUAACUCCGUGCCAGCAGCCGCAGUAA